CAAUAAAGAAAAAAGAUAAAAAAAAAAAACUAGAGAAAUGGAAAGCUGACUAUCAGCUAGAAUGGUCUAGAAAGGGAAACGUCUUGACAGAGCCAUCCAUCAUCGGAUUUUCGAUCGACUUUCCCACUCUCCCGCAGACUUCUUCUUUCCUUCUAUUCCACUCUCCUGCAGUUCCAUCGAUGACACGAUCACUCUGAUUUCUUAUUUUUUUUCUCCAACUAUUAUUUUCACUUACAGUUCUGGAGUUUUCUUCAAUGGCAAUGAAGCAGCUCCAAUUUGAGUAGCCUCUACAAUUUAUCACCGGAUUUACAUAAAAUCCAGUCACUAUCUAGUCCUCUAGAUAUGCGACUCGCCCAAGUACCAAAGAUGCUCUCAAUUUUAAUGAAUGAGUGGACACCGAUGACCUUCUACAUGUCUUUUAAGAGGCUGUUGUGCAACAUGCCCAGUAAUGGUCCCAAUUCAUGUUCGUGCGGAGAGACACAUUUUGAGGUAGGACUUCAGAUACUAUGUUUACAUUAAUAACUUCUUUAGAGUUUUAUAUUUGCUAUAGUGGAAGAUAUGGUUGUGUUU